UACGUAGGGUGCGAGCGUUAAUCGGAAUUACUGGGCGUAAAGCGUGCGCAGGCGGUUCGUUGUGUCGGCGGUGAAAUCCCCGGGCUCAACCUGGGAAUGGCCGUUGAAACUGGCGAACUGGAGUGUGGCAGAGGGGGGUGGAAUUCCGCGUGUAGCAGUGAAAUGCGUAGGGAUGCGGAGGAACACCGAUGGCGAAGGCAGCCCCCUGGGCUGACACUGACGCUCAGGCACGAAAGCGUGGGGAGCAAACAGG
rnacentral:rRNA from 1 species